rnacentral:lncRNA from 1 species
UCCGCGGACGAGGCCACCCGGGUGGCCUGGACGUCCGCCUAGCCCUUCGCUGCCGCCUGCCCUCGGCCUGACCUCCGCCGGCCCCUUCUCCCCCUGGCCAUUCAGGGUAGCCCUGGCUUUGCAGCGCGCCAGGGAAGAGGACGCCGCUUCCCCCGUCCUGUCCCUACUCAGGUGUGCACCCCUUGCUCGGGCCCGCGCCCCCACCCUGGGCAGAGCAUAGAGAUCACUCCUUGUUUUCACGUUUAAAUGAGAUGCAAGCAAAAGGCUGGCGCAGAAUAGGCGCUGCACACUUGUUCAUAAGCACUUGGUAGAAUCACAUAGUAGAUGAUUAAUAUUGACUGAAAAGUCUAGUACCCAGUAAGCACUCAAAACCUGGUGAAAAUAAAGCGUCUGUCCACAAUGCUUGGUGCUCAAUGCCCGACACUUAAUAUGUGCUCCAUGAGUGGCAAUUCUAAUUAUUGCUAUGUUCGUUCCAUCAGUGUUCCACACUAAUUGACAUACACCUUAAAAAUAUGCUCACUAGGCCGGGUGCGGUGGCUCACACCUGUAAUCCCAGCACGGAGGUCAAGGCAGAAGGACUGCUUGAGCCCAGAAGUUUGAGGCCAGCCUGGGCAACAUAGGGAGACCCCAUCUCUACAAAAAAU